AUUGAACGCUGGCGGCAGGCCUAACACAUGCAAGUCGAGCGGAGCGGCGGACGGGUGAGUAAUGCCUAGGAAUCUGCCUGGUAGUGGGGGAUAACGUCCGGAAACGGGCGCUAAUACCGCAUACUAUCAGAUGAGCCUAGGUCGGAUUAGAUAGUUGGUGGGGUAAAGGCCUACCAAGGCGACGAUGCGUAGCUGGUCUGAGAGGAUGAUCGGGCAAACUGGAACUGAGACACGGACCAGACGCCUACGGGAGGCAGCAGUGGGGAAUAUUGGGCAAUGGGCGAAAGCCUGAUACAGCCAUGCCGCGUGUGUGAAGAAGGUAUUCGGAUUGUAAAGCACUUUAAGUUGUGAGGCGUUACCAACAGAAGAAGCACCGGCUAACUACGUGCCAGCAGCCGCGGUAAUUC
rnacentral:rRNA from 1 species